CGGCGGACGGGGGAGUAACGCGUGGGUAACCGUGCCUCAUACAGGGGGAUAACAGUGGAAACGGCUGCUAAUACCGCAUAAGCGCACAGUACCGCAUGGUACCGUGUGAAAAACUCCGGUGGUAUGAGAUGGACCCGCGUCUGAUUAGCUAGUUAGUGGGGUAACGGCCUACCAAGGCGACGAUCAGUAGCCGACCUGAGAGGGUGACCGGCCACAUUGGGACUGAGACACGGCCCAA
rnacentral:rRNA from 1 species